CGGGGCGUAGCGCAGUCUGGUAGCGCACUUGCAUGGGGUGCAAGGGGUCGCGAGUUCAAAUCCCGCCGUUCCGA
rnacentral:tRNA from 1 species